rnacentral:misc_RNA from 1 species
GAUGAAGAACGUAGCGAAAUGCGAUAAGUAAUGUGAAUUGCAGAAUUCAGUGAAUCAUCGAAUCUUUGAACGCACAUUGCGCCCGCUGGUAUUCCGGCGGGCAUGCCUGUUCGAGCGUCAUUUCAACCCUCAAGCUCUCCGGAGUUUGGUGUUGGGGCGCCUGGGGCUUUUCGACCUCAGGGCCCUCAAGUCCAUCGGCGGGACCGCCAGGACACUGAGCGCAGUAGUAUUAUUUCGCUCGGUAGGAUCUUCCACGGCGGGUCGAUCUGGCCGCUAAACCCCCCAAUUCUCACCAAAGGUUGACCUCGGAUCAGGUAGGAAUACCCGCUGAACUUAAGCAUAUAAUAAGCGGAGGA